AUGCUGCACUUGUGUGGACCGGAGACUGUGGUUUUCCAUUUACCUCUGGAGCUCCGCCACGGCGUCUGCGCUGCUGUAACCCGGCACGGUUUCAAAACCAGACAGCUACAGAAAUCCCUCCCUCUCCCCCGGCACAAAACAAUGGAGCCACAUCUGCCCCAGUGCAUUAAUGCUGCUGUUGGUCUGAAAGUCUUGUUGAGUGUCGGAGAAAGAGCAAAAAGGAAAGCUAAGAAAUUGGUAUUCAGAAGCAAACCUGCACUGAGAUUUAUUCACUGGAGCUGACAAGUGACAACUAUCCCAAGUAAGUAGCAAAUAUUUUACCAUUAUGGGUUGUGGGAACUUGUACUUAUUCUGUUGAUAUACAAGGAAAAGAUGAAAAUAUUACAGAUGCUAUAAUAAAAUGCAAAUAUGGUGACAGAUAUUUCCAAAUUUUGUAGUGGCAGAAAGAAACCAAACAAGCACAAGCUCUGAAAAUAUCUUCUGUGUUUAUAUUGGCGGUUUUAGUAGAUGCCGCUAAAGUGACCAAAACAGCCACUUAGCGUUUAUAUGUUCUGGUUAUGAGCUGCAGUCAUAGUUUUCCUCCUGUAUUGCUGGAAUGGGGGAAUGUUGUCCUAGACUGACCCGGAGUUGCUCUCAGAUCUACCCGUUUGCUGGAAAGCAUUAACAUGUUGGACCAUAGUGAGUUUUCAAUACAAAAUAACCACGUAAAUCUCUGCCCAGAUUCAGAUUUAACCACACUGUUAAUAGUCUUCCAGUCAAAUGUACUUCCAGGCAUAUUUUCCUCUGUGGCUGGCAGUUCUUCCAUCUCGAUUCAAAAUAAAUGUUAUCAUGGACAAUACUUGGCUUGAAACUCAACAAGAUGAUUGCAGAAGCAAUGGAAGCGUGUAAUGAUGUUGAUGAUGAGAGGACAGGGUUUAAACUCUUUAACUUCCUGAGUAUGUUUCUGUCCAAUUGAAAUGUCUGUUAUGAAGCUUUUAGUGACAAUAUACUUGAACAAAUAAGGAGGUUUGGAAAGUUUUGAACCGUUUUGUUGUUGUUGUUGUUGUUGUUGUUGUUUGUUGUUGUACUUUUGUAAAAUGAUUGGAAAUGACUGUAUUGCAGUGCUGACAGAGGUGUCAAUGCUGUUUUUUGUCAUUUAUUUCAAUAUGAAAACUGAAGUUUAACAUGUCUAACAUGUCAGGGUUAUUAUUAAUAACUAAAAUUAAAGCCAUAAAAAACAUUUCUCGAAAUAAAAUAAAUGUUAACUG
ensembl:lncRNA